GAUGAAGAACGCAGCGAAAUGCGAUACGUAAUGUGAAUUGCAGAAUUCAGUGAAUCAUCGAGUCUUUGAACGCACAUUGCGCCCUCUGGUAUUCCGGAGGGCAUGCCUGUCCGAGCGUCAUUGCUGCCCUCAAGCACGGCUUGUGUGUUGGGCUCCGUCCCCCGAUCCCGGGGGACGGGCCCGAAAGGCAGCGGCGGCACCGCGUCCGGUCCUCGAGCGUAUGGGGCUUUGUCACCCGCUCUGUAGGCCCGGCCGGCGCUUGCCGAUCAACCAAAUUUUUAUCCAGGUUGACCUCGGAUCAGGUAGGGAUACCCGCUGAACUUAAGCAUAUCAUAAGCGGAGGA
rnacentral:misc_RNA from 1 species